AGCGAACGCUGGCGGCAGGCCUAACACAUGCAAGUCGACCGAAUCUUUCGGGGUUAGUGGCGGACGGGUGAGUAACACGUGGGAACGUGCCUCUAGGACCGGAAUAACCCAGGGAAACCUGUGCUAAUACUCAAUGUGCCCUUCGGGGGAAAGACUUAUCGCCUUUCGAGCGGCCCGCGUCUGAUUAGCUCGAUGGUUGAGGUAAUGGCUCACCACGGCGACGCUCAGUAGCUAGUCUGAGAGGAUGGUUAGACACAUUGGGACUGAGACACGGCCCAAACUCGACCGCAACACUGAGGUGGAGAGUCUUGCGGAAUGGGCGAAAGCAUGACGCACCCAUGCCGCGAGUAUCAUGAGGGUCUUACGAUUGUACAAUUCUUUCACCGAAGACCAUAAUGGCGGUACCCGGAGGAGAAGCCCCGGCUAACUCCGUG
rnacentral:rRNA from 1 species